CCCCUAGAUGUUCUGGGCCGCACGCGCGCUACACUGAUGCAUUCAACGAGUUUCUUCCUGGUCCGAGAGGAAUGGGUAACCUUUUGAAAGUGCAUCGUGAUAGGGAUAGACUAUUGCAAUUAUUGGUCUUCAACGAGGAAUUCCUAGUAGACGUAGUUCAUCAGACUGCAUCGAUUACGUCCCUGCCCUUUGUACACACCGCCCGUCGCUCCUACCGAUUGAAUGCUCAGGUGAGCCAUUCGGACUUUCAUCAUGCUGGUUUCCAGUUUUGAUGAAGGAAAGUCUUGCGAACCUUAUCAUUUAGAGGAAGGAGAAGUCGUAACA
rnacentral:rRNA from 1 species